UGGGGAAUUUUGGACAAUGGGCGCAAGCCUGAUCCAGCAAUGCCGCGUGCAGGAUGAAGGCCUUCGGGUUGUAAACUGCUUUUGUACGGAACGAAAAGCCUCUCUCUAAUACAGGGGGGUGAUGACGGUACCGUAAGAAUAAGCACCGGCUAACUACGUGCCAGCAGCCGCGGUAAUACGUAGGGUGCAAGCGUUAAUCGGAAUUACUGGGCGUAAAGCGUGCGCAGGCGGUUUUGUAAGACAGUGGUGAAAUCCCCGGGCUCAACCUGGGAACUGCCAUUGUGACUGCAAGGCUGGAGUGCGGCAGAGGGGGAUGGAAUUCCGCGUGUAGCAGUGAAAUGCGUAGAUAUGCGGAGAAACACCGAUGGCGAAGGCAAUCCCCUGGGCCUGCACUGACGCUCAUGCACGAAAGCGUGGGGAGCAAAACAGGAUUAGAUACCCUGGUAGUCACGCCCUAAACGAUGUCAACUGGUUGUUGGGGAUUUAUUUCUUCAGUAACG
rnacentral:rRNA from 1 species